rnacentral:rRNA from 1 species
AGCGAACGCUGGCGGCAGGCCUAACACAUGCAAGUCGAGCGGCCGUAGCAAUACGGCAGCGGCAGACGGGAGAGUAACACGUGGGAACGUACCCUUCAGUUCGGAACAACCCAGGGAAACUUGGGCUAAUACCGGAUACGUCCGUAAGGAGAAAGAUUUAUCGCUGAAGGAUCGGCCCGCGUCUGAUUAGCUAGUUGGUGAGGUAACGGCUCACCAAGGCGACGAUCAGUAGCUGGUGUGAGAGGAUGAUCAGCCUCACUGGGACUGAGACACGGCCCAGACUCCUACGGGAGACGGCAGGGGGGAAUAUUGGACAAUGGGCGCAAGCCUGAUCCAGCCAUGCCGCGUGGAUGAUGAAGGCCCUAGGGUUGUAAAGUCCUUUCGGCGGGGAAGAUAAUGACGGUACCCGCAGAAGAAGCCCCGGCUAACUUCGUGCCAGCCGCCGCCGUAAAAC